rnacentral:rRNA from 1 species
AGAGUUUGAUCAUGGCUGAGGGUGAACGCUGGCGGCGCGCUUAAUGCAUGCAAGUCGAGCGUGAUCGUGGCUUCGGCCACAAUGAUAAAGCGGCAGACGGCUGAGUAACGCGUGAGUAAUCUGCCCUCCGGUGGGGUAUAACCUCGGGAAACUGAGGAUAAUCCCGCAUACGACCUGCAUCCCUUGGGGUGCAGAUGAAAGGCUUCGGUCGCCGGAGGAGGAGCUCGCGUCCUAUCAGGUUGUUGGUGGGGUAACGGCCUACCAAGCCGAUGACGGGUAGCUGGUCUGAGAGGAUGACCAGCCAGAGGGGGACUGAGAACGGCCCCCACUCCUACGGGAGGCAGCAGCAGGGAAUCUUGGGCAAUGGGCGAAAGCCUGACCCAGCGACGUCGCGUGGGGGACGAAGGCCUUCGGGUUGUAAACCCCUUUUCCGAGGGAAGAGAAAGGACGGUACCUCGGGAAUAAGCCCCGGCUAACUACGUGCCAGCAGCCGCGGUAAUACGUAGGGGGCAAGCGUUACCCGGAAUCACUGGGCGUAAAGUGCGCGUAGGCGGUUGGAUAAGUCUCUUGUGAAAGCUCCCGGCUCAACUGGGAGAGGUCAAGGGAUACUAUUUGACUAGAGGACAGCAGAGGUAAGCAGAAUUUCCCGGUGUAGCGGUGGAAUGCGUAGAUAUCGGGAGGAACACCAGUGGCGAAAGCGGCUUACUGGGCUGUAUCUGACGCUGAGGCGCGAGAGCGUGGGGAGCAAACUGGAUUAGAUACCCAGGUAGUCCACGCCCUAACGAUGGAUACUAGGUAUGGGGGGUAUUGGACCCCCUCCGUGCCGUAGCUAAACGCGUUAGGUAUCCGGCCUGGCACCUACGGUCGCAAUGCCUAACUUCAAAUGACUGACGGGGGCUCGCCAACAAGUCCGGUUGUGCAGAC